rnacentral:lncRNA from 1 species
UUCGUUUUAAGGGGGCGCCGACUACUCAGCUCCUCAGACCCAGGAACACAUGAGCAAAGCUCACCGGGCCCGCUCGGGUUUCUCUCUGGAUCAGAAUGCAGAAGUAACUGCCAGCUUCGCAGGGCUGACUGUGGACAAGAUGGCAGUUAAGAUGGGAGGACCGGAAGUUGGGAACGGCCCUGAUCCUGGACCACACCACGACAUUGCAGGCACACCCCUGCGGCCUGUCCCUGUCCACACCAGCCACUGGUCACCAGUGCUGGCUGCACUCAGCCAUAGCCACUGACCGUGCUCUCUGACCUGCCCUUCGCCUGCUGACCCAUCCCCUGAAAGGCACCUCUGAUGAUGCAAGCGAGGGAGCAGAAACCAAGGCUCUGGCUACAGCAACAUUGGCUGGGAUUGUGCUGAAUCUGCAGAUCACUUUGGAGAGAAUUGAUACCUUGAAAACAGUGGGUUUUCCCGUUCAUGAACACAGUACAGCUCUCCAUCUAUGGUUUCUUCCACCACACCAGGGAGGCAGGAAGGAAAGCGAGGCUGAUGAAUGAGAACACGGGGCUGGACGAGGACCAGAGUCUGGACACCAGCCCCAGCCCCGGAGCAGCAGCCCCUGCUGACCCUGCUCCAGGUGGAGGCGAUGGGAAGAGAGGAAGCACCCGGGCCACAAGUCUUACGCUGGGCGCGGGAUAAAGCCGAGGUCCUCAUCCACAGGGCCGUGGCUGGUCAGGGAAAUGGACGUGUCCAUCAAAACCUAUAAAACGAUGAAGCAGGACAAAGAAGUGGUGCUGGCUCCAGGAGCUGCAGGUGGAUGUGGCCGUCUGGGAUGUCACUAACCCUGACCGCUCCAUGUGUGCCAGUGUCCACGCUCAUCCACACAUCGUGCCACUCCAGCCUCACAGCAACCAGAGAGCAGGAGUCGUUUCUGUUCCACAGAUGAGCAAGCAGAGGCCCAGGUGGGACAAGGACUUUGCCCCAAGACCACAGGGGUUGGACUCAGCUCUACCAUUCCCUGGGAGACCCCUCCGCACCCUGCCUGGGCAGACUUCCUCUGGGACUGAUUCUAAAACUGGCCCUGGGCCCUGUCCAUCCAGGGAGCUGGCAGCCUCCUCUUCCCACACAGCUUUUCCAGCCUCUUGGUUACAAUCCCGUUAUUUGCCACCACAUGUCCCUCUUCUUUUCCUUUCGAAGAUGACUCAUAAGAUGAAACGAG